GCUAAUACCGCAUAAUGUCGCAAGACCAAAGAGGGGGACCUUCGGGCCUCUUGCCAUCAGAUGUGCCCAGAUGGGAUUAGCUAGUAGGUGGGGUAACGGCUCACCUAGGCGACGAUCCCUAGCUGGUCUGAGAGGAUGACCAGCCACACUGGAACUGAGACACGGUCCAGACUCCUACGGGAGGCAGCAGUGGGGAAUAUUGCACAAUGGGCGCAAGCCUGAUGCAGCCAUGCCGCGUGUAUGAAGAAGGCCUUCGGGUUGUAAAGUACUUUCAGCGGGGAGGAAGGUGUUGUGGUUAAUAACCGCAGCAAUUGACGUUACCCGCAGAAGAAGCACCGGCUAACUCCGUGCCAGCAGCCGCGGUAAUACGGAGGGUGCAAGCGUUAAUCGGAAUUACUGGGCGUAAAGCGCACGCAGGCGGUCUGUCAAGUCGGAUGUGAAAUCCCCGGG
rnacentral:rRNA from 1 species